rnacentral:rRNA from 1 species
UCAAAAACAUGGCCUAUUGAUAAUAAUUUUAGGUCUGGCCUGCCCCCUGAGGAUUUAAAUGGCCGCGGUAUUUUGACCGUGCUAAGGUAGCAUAAUCAUUAGUUUCUUAAUUAGAAGCUAGAAUGAAUGGUUGGAUGAAAAAAAUUCUGUCUCUAUUUAAAAUUUUAUUGGAAUUUUAUUUUUUAGUAAAAAAGCUAAAAUAAUUUUAAAAGACGAGAAGACCCUAUAGAGUUUAAUAUUUUUUAAAUAAUUAAAAUUUAUUGGAAUAUAAUUUUUUGAUUUUUAUAAGUAUUUGGUUGGGGUGAUCGAAAAAUUAGAUAAACUUUUUCUUUUUUAAACAUUAAUUUUUGAAUGAUUGAUCCAUUUUUUAUGAUUAAAAGAUUAAAUUACCUUAGGGAUAACAGCGUAAUAUUUUCAAAGAGUUCUUAUCGAAGAAAAAGAUUGCGACCUCGAUGUUGGAUUAAAAUUAACUUUGGGUGUAGAAGCUUAAAAGUUAGGUCUGUUCGACCUUUAAAAUUUUACAUGAUCUGA